rnacentral:lncRNA from 1 species
CACCAUGUGACAUCUGGCUCUUUCCUGAAGUCAAAAGGAACACGAAAGAUAUAUGCUUUCAAUCCAUUCAGGAUAUCAAGGAAGCCACAACAGCAUUGAGACUCAGAAUGUCCUAGAAGAGAUGUUCAGCCACUGUUCCAGGACAAUGUCUGGCCAGACCCUCCAGGGACCACCAGGGACCCUCACCCUGCUGACUGUAAGGCACCAUGGGCACAUGGAGAUCCACACAUGGCCUCUUGCUGGGAAAGAGGAUACAAAAGAUGAGGUGGUUUACCCUGGCUGUGGUGGGAAGCCAGUGCAU